rnacentral:snRNA from 1 species
GUACAGAACGGAGAACCGAAAGU